CCGCGCUCCGGCUCCCGCGGCGCUGCCUCAGCUUCUCGGUUGUUUCCUGCUCAUUCAUUCGCUUUUUACAAGCUCCAGAUCUCCUGGUGCUGCUGCUCUACCAACUCUUUUUCUCCCCGAGUUUAAAGCGCCACGAGCACGCGUUUUGCAUGUGGGGGGUAGGGUGAGCCGUGUUUGCCUUCGGGGCUGUUUCAAAUCGUUUGAGGAGGGGAAAGCCCGCCCUUUCCUCCAGCACCCGGCCUCGGGUUCCAGACCGACAAAAACGGAGAAGCCUUCGCCCUAGAGAAGACCGAGAGCUGCAAAGCUCUCGCUCCCCUGGGACCGGCGGAAGGAAGCUAAGGGCUGGGAGGCAACCCCGCUGCAAUUUCUAACCCUCAAAAAGAUCCAGGCAGCUGUGAUGUCCUUGCUGUCGCCGCCCCAGUCCGCCGCGCACCAGCUCUGGGGGUGCCGGCCGCGCGCAGCUGCCCGAUUUCUCCUCGCUUCUUGGCUUCCAGGAGGGUCCAGCAGCCCAGGGCUAUGACUAAGGCGCUCACUUGAUCGCAGAGGUGGCGCGGAGCCCGGCGAGCCGAUGACGGACCCCUUCCUCCUGUCUUCAGUGCCUCAACGGAAGAUCCUCAAGGGCUGGAGAGAGAAGGGCUGCUGCUGGACACCCUCCCGGGGAGGCUGCUCCCACCUGCCGCUCGUGGUGUACGAGACUGGGGACUGAGCGAGCCCCAGCCGUCGCUGCCGUCGGUCGGACCGGCCCCCGCCCCGCUCUGCUCGGCCCGCCU
ensembl:lncRNA